rnacentral:lncRNA from 1 species
GCCUAAAACAGACAAUAGUGCAAACAACGCUCCCAUUUCUGUGUCCAUGUUGUUGUCUACAGUGCUGUCCUCCGGUAGCGUUAAAGCCAUGUGUUAUAGUCAUGUGAUAGAGGCUUGACGAAUAAGGGAAGGAUACGCAAUGACACAAAAGCCCCAAUCAGGUAGCGAAUCUCAGCAGUCCUGCCUCCGUUUUCAGAUGUCUCCGUUUUCCAUCAUCCACAUUGAGACGGAGCAGCAGCGUUUCAGAAUGAAAACGGCCUCUCCAGCGUU